CCCUGCCAUUGCAGAAGCUUCAAGUAUUGAUGGCACCUUCAUCUCUCCUACUGUCUGCCUGUGGCAUACAACAGUUUAGUCUCCUAAGGACUGAAAUGAUUCAGUCUAACCCAAGUUAUUGUGUUCUCUAUAGAGGUAGUUAGCCAGCACAUCUUGAAGGGACUAGUCAAAGUAAGUGGCUCAUCAAGGAACACUUAACUCACAAUGGACCAUGGAAGAUGCCCAUUUACCUUGAAUGGACUUUCCUGUGGACAUUCCAUAUGAAGUAUAGGACACUGAAAACCCUGAUGUGAGGAUAAGCCACAUACAAGAGUUAAGAACUGGACAGAAGGCUCUUCCUGCUGGGAGGCAAGAGACUGGAAAUCAAAUGCACUAACCACUAGGCCACCUGGCCCUCUGAGGACUCCUACACUGUUCUAUUCAGGUUCUUAUACCCGGCACCUAGAGCUGUGUGAAGGGACACGCCCCCACUCUGGUGGAGAAGAGACUAACAAGCUCUUCUGGGCCUACUCAGCACUAAUGAGGCACACCUGCAUCUGUUCUGCCUGGAGAGGGAAGAGCUUAAAAAAGGAAACCUGCCACAGGAAGGGGGGUGGUGAUCAGAAGAAGGGCUGCUCCACCUCAGAGACGGCUGACAGCAGACACGUCAGCCGAGAAGGAGACAGUCGCAGGUUACACCACUCCCAGAGCUGUACAGCAGUAUGCCCCAGGAGGAGGGGCUCAGCGUAGGCCCCACUAAGGGACAAUAGACUCUGAUACACCAGCCUCAUAUUGGUGAAUCCAGAAAGACUGCCUGAGAGACAGACUACCUUUGUCUUCACUCUUCUCUCAUAAGGGGAGAGGACCCUUCUUUUGCCUGUUGUCUGACUCAGAGAACCCCUUGUGUGCUACAAACUGGUAGUGGGCAGGGCAGAAGACAGUAUGAAUGAUGGACAGCAGGGUCUGAGGGUUGCCCCCUACAAACUGGCUGAAAGUUUUCUUACGGGACAGUGUACCAUCAGAAAAUGCUGAUUUGACAACACUGAAAUAUUUCAUGGCAAGUAUGGAUUCUGACAAAAUUAUCAAAACAAAGGUUUUAAUAAAGUUAAAAUGAAGCGCUUUGACUUUAUAUUUUCAGCUGUUACAUAAUACAUUAAACCAGUGGUUUUUCAAACUUUUUUUUUUC